UAAAAAUCUUAAAGGCCUUUUGCGUAGAGUAGUUAUUUUCUGUGACAGAACAAAUGGCAAAAUUACAAAAUUCAUUAUAAAAGCUUGGAAACUCUAUGCAGAGGGAAUAGAACAGACAGUAUUGUUAAUUAUUCUCUUACAUUUUUUAUCCCAGACGGAUAAUGUUUUACUCUUUAAUACAUAUUUUAGACAUUGAUAAGGUAGUUGUCUGAAUGUAAUAGCAUUCCAAUUACAUGGAAAACCGUGCAGCUGGGAGGGUGUGUGGGAUAAUAAAUCAACUGGUAAUACUUGAAAACAGUAUGAAAUAUACUUGUUUCUUUUAAGUAUUCUUUGCUUUGCAUUGUAGAGCUGUGAAAACAACAUCCCUAAGCAGACUGAUGCACUAUGCUGGUGGUCUUCUUGUGUGUACCUGUGGAGGAAAGGGGUACUAACAGUAAGAAUGGAACUAUUUUCUGCUUGCACCACAAGAUGUCAAACAGCCUGCUCCUGAAAAAUUGAUCUGAAGAGUAAGUAAUCAACGCUUCCACUAUCUCCUCCUGAAGGACAUUCUACAGUGAAUGUAUUUGAACUCAAAUUCAAUAACACUAGCAAUUGGUGGUUCAAUCUAUACAUCAAAUGCCAUACAUUGAUACAAAUGUAAGUUAAUUUAUGAAGGUUGGAGAAGAUACUUGAAUACUUGAUACUUGGAGCUGCAAAACUGUUUUAAUUUGACCACAGAUGAAGCCAAGGCUACAUUAAUUGUUCUCAAAUGCAAUAUAUUGUAGAUUAAGCUUUGUAAAAAUCACAGUUUUGUUAAAAUCAAGAUUUGUUAUAUAAUAAUCAUAAGACAUUUAGGGAACUGUAAAAUUGCAGCAGUUUCAGAUCCAUGCAUCUCUUGCAGGCUGAUGCCUUAUGAAUGGACAGAUGUAAGUUUUAUUAAAUAAGGUUAAAACAUACAGUAAACACUGAAGACUAUUGUUGUAAGCCUUAUGCAUAUAUGGUACAUAAACUACAUAUGAACAUGAAAUGAGAGGAGGCUUAUCAGUCAAUCUGAUCCAUUUGGAUUUAGAAGCUAAUUGAUUCAAGGAAUUCAACCAGCUGCUUCUUGGAAGAAGCCAUUGACAGUAUAUCAACUUCAACAACAUGGCUAGGUACCCUGUUUCAAACAUCUAUAACCCUUUGAAUAAAAAAGUGACUCCUCUUGGUGGUUUUGAAUGCACAUUUUCUUAAUUGUUUAAACAUAUCCUGGUAUUUUUUCCAUACAUUUUCC
rnacentral:lncRNA from 1 species